AGAAAUCUUUUUUUGAUACUGUAAAUUGAAGUGUUUUCUGGACAUUAUGCUCAGAUUAUUUAUUGUUAAUGUAAGGAAACAGAAUUGAUUUUUCUCUUAUUCUAAAAACUUCCUGGACUCAUCACUGAUGACUGUUUAGUGAUUCUUUUGGAUUUUCUACAUAUAACAACAUGUCAAUUACACCUAUAGGCAAUUUUAUUUCUUCCUUUCCAGCCAGUAAGAUGUUUAACAUUCCUACUAAAAUUUUCUAUUCUAUUACUGGAUAGAAGUGGUGAGAAAAAUCUUGUCCUCAAAUUUAGAGGAGAAGAAUGUAGUCCUUCACCAUUAAGGACAACUUUGUCUGUGAACUGUUCACGGAUGCUCUUUACCAGCUUAAGGAAAUUAAUUUCUACUCCUUGUUUGUUGGGUGCUGUGGUGAGGGUGGAGUGUUGGAGUCUGACAAGUGGGUUUUUUUUUUUUUUUGCGUUUAUCAGAUGAUCAUAUGUGCUUUAUCCUUUAUUCUAUUGAAAUAGUGUAUUACAUUAAUUUUUUUAAAAUAUUAAAUGGACCUUAUCUUUACAGGGCUAAAUCCUACUGUUCGUGGUUUCUAAUCCUUUUUUCAUGUCCCCAGAUAACACCCAGCCAGUAUUCCCUGAAGAUUUUCCUGUCUGUAUUCCAUCAAUACUGGCCCUAGUUUUCUGCUCCUAGGAUGCCCUCAUCUGCCCCUGGAUCAAGUCACUGUCUGGAAAACUCAACACUGUUGAGAGGGCAGUAAGCUUCCGGUGGAACCCCAGACCAACUUAACCCUGACUACGUUCAAGCUGUGUUUUUCUUCACAGAAGCUCACAUAUUAAUCCUAAAAACAGUUCAUAUGGCAACGGAAGGACCCAGAACAACCAGAUCAAUUAUGAAAAAGAAGAAAAAAAGUUGUAAAAAUUGUAAGACUUACUCUAAAAUGACGGCAACCAAGACAGUGAUACUGGCACAGACAGAUGCCAACAGCAGGAUGGAAUUAAGCCUUUAUCUGUGGAAAAUAGACCUUUACAUUUAUGAUCAACUGAUUUUUUUGAGCAAGUGUGCCAAGAUAAUUCAAUGAGCAGAAAAAAGUAGCCUUUUUAAUAAAUAGUGUUUGUGGGGAGGGUGGUGGAGAGAAAGAAAAAGAAGAAAGGAAAAGAAGUUUUGCCACUACCUCACACCAUACCAUAAACAAAACAAACUCAAAGAAUCACAGACCCACAUUUAAGAGCUAAAUCUACAAUUGUACUAGAAGAAAAUAUGUGAAUAAAUAUUGAGGAACUUCUAUCAGGCAAUAUUGUCUGAGAUACGUCACCCAAAACAAAGAGACUAAAAAAAAUUAGAUACAACUUUAUCAAAUUUAGAAACUUUGGGCUGGGGAAUAUAGCUCAGUUGGUAGAGUGCUUGCCUUUCAUGCAUAAGGUUCAAUCCCUGGGUUCAAUCCCUAGCACCACACACAUACACGUGUGCACACCCACACACACAAAAGAGCAUAACUUUAAAAAAGAAAUAGAAACUUUGUCCUUCAAAGGAUGCACUUAAGAAAAAGAAAACAUAACCUCAGAAUAGGAGAAAAUAGUUUCAAUCAUACUGUGUCAGCCAGUUUUUCAUGGCUAUGGCCAAAUUACUUGGCAAAAAAAAUAGAGGAGAAAAGUGUAUUUCAGAGGUCUCACUUCAUGGUACAGCUGACUUCAUUUCUGUGGACCUGAGAUGAGGCAGAACAUCAUGGUGGGUGGGUGUGGCAGAGGAAGGCUGCUCAGAUCCUGGCAGCCAGGCAGCUGAGGAAGAGAAACCCAACCAAGUCACCUCCAGUGACCUUAUCAGCUAUCAAUGGAUUAAUCCACUGUUGAGGUCAGAGCUCUAAUUUUUGUCAAAAAGUCCCACCUCUCAAACCUUGGUGAAUUGGAGACCAGGCUUCCAACACCUAAAGUUUUAGGGACAUUCCAGUUCCAAACUAUAACACAUAUAUUUGAUAAGGAACUUGUAUCCAGAACAUAUAAAAAACUCUUACAAAUCAACAAAAAGGAUAACACAAUUCAAAAAUGGGAAAAGAUUUGAAUAGAAAUAUACUUACCUAAGAAAAGAGAAAACAUGAGUCCAUUCAAAAUCUUUUUUAAUUUUUAUAGCAGUAUUAGUCAUAAUAACCAAAAAUGGAGGCGAGUCAAAUGAACAUCCGUGUAUUGAUUGGUAUAUAAAAAGUGGCAAAUAUAUUUGUACACUGGAAUAUUACUUGGCAAUAAAAAUGAAGUACUGGUAAAUGCUACUACAUAGCUGAAUCUUGAAAACUAUGUUUAAAAGUCAGUCUUGAAAGACCAGAUAUUAUAUAAUUUUACUAAAAUGAAAUGUGUAGAAUGGGUAUAGAGACAGAAAACAGAUGAAUGGAAGCCUGGAUUUAGCAGGGAGGUCAAGAAUGAGGAAUGAUUAAUAAUGAGUAUACAUUUAUUCUGGAGGUAACUAAAAUAUUCCAACAUUAGGUAGCAGUGAAGGACACAUAACUAUUUGGAUACACCAAAACACACUGAACUAUAUACUUUAAAUGACCAAACUUGAUAGUAAAAGUAUGUCUCGAGCUAUUUUAAAGGACAGAGUCUUCCUCUAGAAUAUUGGUAGCCUGUAUGUGUCUCAGACUACACUAUCUCUAAGUGACACACAGUGCUUCUUCCUGAGACACUAUCUGAAACCCAUCUUAUUUUCCUGCAAGCCACUAGGAUUCCAUGCCUUGUUUCUCUGUAAGGGCUAUUUGAGAGCAGUAGCUCUAGAUUUCUGACAGAUAUUGCCAUACAUUCCAGCCAGUAUGUCUGACAAACUGAUUUCCUUGUGGGGCAGAUAAAUGACAGGCCCACUAAAGUAAUUCCUGUGAACUGUCACUAUAAAUUAAUGUGUACAGAGAACACAGUCCACUCAAAAAGGACAAGUAACAGAGCUCAUCAUAUCCUGGUGGGUUGUACAUCAAAGUUUAUUACAUAUAUUUUAAUAUGUUCAUUAUAUACCUAGAUUUGUGUACAUAAUCCAUGUGGGUAAGGGGAUGAAGCUUGGGGAUAUAUUUAUGCAGAAAUGAAGGAGCUGGUCUCACUACAAAUGUAUAAGUAUUGAGAACAAAAAUGGAUUUAAAGGUUCAUUUAGGGGGAAAAAUUGAUUUUUUACAAUUCUGUCAAGAACAUUUUUUAAAAAAUGGUCUAAUAUAACUUGCUUCAUUAUCCAAUCUAAAAUAAUUAACUUACUGAUAUUUACUUUUGUCCCAAACAGGCAUUGCUAUUUGUACUCUCUAAGUGCAACUACUAAUAAAAAGCAUGAUAUUACUGAGUUCA